CAAUGACCUGUAAUAGCAAACGAGACGUACAGUGAAAAGAACGCUAUUUUAAUAUAGUUUUGAUUAAUGCCUUUGCCCUGUUACAUUUU